rnacentral:rRNA from 1 species
GAUGAACGCUGGCGGCGUGCUUAACACAUGCAAGUCGAACGGAAAGGCUCCUGCUUGCAGGGGUACUCGAGUGGCGAACGGGUGAGUAACACGUGGGUGAUCUGCCCUGCACUUCGGGAUAAUCCUGGGUAACUGGGUCUAAUACCGGAUCGGACCACCUUUUGGAUGGUGUGGUGGAAAUUCUUUCGGUGUGGGAUGAGCUCGCCGCCUAUCAGCUUGUUGGUGGGGUAAUGGCCUACCAAGGCGUCGACGGGUAGCCGGCCUGAGAGGGUGUACGGACACAUUGGGACUGAGAGACGGCCCAGAGUCCUACGGGAGGCAGAAGGGGGGAAUAUUGGACAAUGGGCGCAAGCCUGAUGCAGCGACGCCGCGUGGGGGAUGACGGCCUUCGGGGUGGAAACUCCUUUCGCUAGGGACGAAGCGUUUUUGUGACGGUACCUGGAGAAGAAGCACCGGCUAACUACGUG